AGCCCGGCAGGAUGACUGCUAUGCUUUGGACUUCCUCAGGAGGCUCCGGCCUAGGUGCACACAGGUAGGAGGAAAUUGUCAUAGGCAAUAGAAGCAUGGAAUGGAGAUUGGUUGAUGGCAGUGAGCUUUAAGGACUGCAUCAAUCUCUAUUGACUUCUGGAGAGACGUACUGAAAUUAAGGAGACUUGGCUUUCAUUUUAGCUGGCAGCACUUUUGGCUCUAUAUUCAGCUGUUUGAGGUUUUAAUUUGACUUCUAUGUUUUUAUAUCCAUCUACCUAUAUGUAUUUAAAUUUGACUUUUUUUGUGAAGAAAAUGUUGGAAGGGACCUUUAAUUUUUGUAGUGUUUUCUGAAUUUUUCACACCUGGUUUGUAAACAAAAAGAAAAGAAAGAGACAGAAAAAGUAGAAAGAGAAGGGAGAAAACAGCAUGGUUUUUAAUCUGUUUUGAGCACAUGUUAACUUAGAGAAUUAUUUUGAAGCAUUUGAAACAAUGAACUGUUUUUACCUGAUCAAGCCUUUAUAUUUGUAACUUAAAAAACAGUCUAAGAGACAAAUAGCAGAAAGCUCAGAUGUUCUCCACAGAUAUGAAACAAAUGAAUCCCUCUUCACAGAGUACCAACAACCACUGCUGGGAAUGUACUCUUUAACACCGGUCUUAAAACAAACUCUUUCAAAACCUCCUCUACCUCUGAAGAGCCUUGAAGUCAAUGUUUUCUAGAAUGCAUUAAAUCCACUCUACAGUCAAUUGAUGAGGAAACUCGAGAGUCAAGAACCCCCCCAACUUUACUUUUAAAGGAGUUGUGAGGUGGAAUUCUGAUGAUGACGACCUGAAGUGCUGUGCUGGGGAAAAAAAACAAAAACAAAAAAACAAACAAAAAAAACCUCUCAAAAUAUCUCGCUGAAAAGCCUUUAAAGCAAAUUGUCAUUGUUAGGACACCAGCCAGACCAUUCCUAAACCAUAACCUUAAAUGUUUUCCCCAAAACAACAAAGCACUGAAAUACAUUUUUCUUUUCUUCUUUUCUUUUCCGCUGCACAGCACUACAAUACAUUUACUGCGGUUACAAAGUCUUCCAGGAAGUAUCACACACUCACACAAUGUUUCUUCAAAGCUCAGCUUUAUAUUUUGUUUUCUGCGUUAGCCAAACAAUUCUAAAAUCUCAUCUGGCAGGAGAGCUCCGUAUUAGAGGAUUCUCAAGAAUAUAAAUUGUUUCAGUUAAGGUUAGUAGACCUGAAAUCAGUAGACGGUCUGUAUAUCUAUUUCAGCUGAUCUCAUUAGGAGAUUAUGAAGUUAUGCUCUGCUUUCCACAUCUGUUUCCCUCCUCUUUUGAUACUGGUAAUUUCAAUGUGAAUGAAUAUUUGAACAAGUGCUUUCUUCAUGAGUGCAGCUGAAGUAUUAAUAUUAUUACUGGAUAUUGAGUUGGAUACAUUGGAUAAUAAUUAAUACAUUUGGAAAACCAAUCCAGGCUUCAUUUGGACUACAUAGAAAAGUACCUAUAUACCUGUAUUAUUGUUGUUGACUGUGUUCCCAAAGGAAUCUCCACUUUUAGGAAGAAGUCUAAGAGUAGAAGAAAGAAGUUUUUCUUGUGUGUCAUUUUCUAAAACGUUUUUGGUAUGCCUUUUGGGACGCAUAGCAAAAGACACUUAUUUCUGCCUCAGAAUAAGUAGGAAAAAAAACAAGUUUAUACAUAUGAGUAUUAUUUAAGAGUAUUUAAAAAAAAAAAUCUAUCCUGGUAAAUAUUUGCAAGAUGAAAUCUAAAGAGUGUUCUGUGUCACACAGAGAAAGUAUGGAUGAUAGAAACCAAAGGGAGGACUGAAAUGUUUAAUUUGCAUUUCAUGUUUUUUCAUAUUUCUGCUAUAACGAAAGUGCUCUUUGCAUGGAGAAAACCAUGCAACUGUAAGCAUGCCUGGGCCAGCCAGCUAUGUCCAAGCAGUAUAGUUAGUUGUAAAUAAUCAGAGGCAAUGACAUGCAGACUUAUGGCAUGAACAGGCUGAGGAAUAGUUCUGAAAAGACUGUUUAAGAUGCAUUUUUGGAACUGGAAGACUUGUGCAUGUACUCUUGAUAAAGAAUGAGCUCUUGACAAAGUUGCCAUCAUUAACCAGAGCAAACAGUCGAGCAAGAAUAUCACAGUAGUGGCUAGUGAAGCAGGGAGGACUAAGAAAAUGGGAACUAGCAUGGAGUAACAUGAGAGCUCAUUCAAUGCACUCCCAGUAGGUCAUUAACAGCUUGGGUAAGGCUGAAGUCAACAAGAUAGGUGAAUUUCUUUUAUCACAAAAUCUGAGGAAAGUGUUCGUGUAGGAGGAGGGGAGCAGCCUGCUGCCUUUUCUCCUUUUCUCAUUUCUUAAUGAUACAACUGGUCUUUACAAUAGUUAGAGCUGCCAUUUGGAAAAAAAAUGUUUAAUUGUUCUACAUUACUGUUUAUCCUGCUAUCCUGUUUAUCCUAUUGCUGUUUUCUUUUCUUCCUCCAACCAAAUACUUCUUGGUAAGGCUUCUGAUUUUCAGCGAUGUGGGGAAUAUUAACUUAAUCAGUCCAGAAGGUUUAGUUUAAUUUGAUCAGCUUUUUAAAAUUUGAAGCUUUUGCUACCAAUCAAUGUUUGGUAAGAGGAGUCUGAGUGUUUUUGCUAAUUCUUUUUUUUUUUUUUCUUUCCUUUUUUGAGGAUGGGCAGAGUAUGAAUAACAAGCCUCUUUUUAUUAGCAAUAUAAAUUAUAUAAUUGGACACUAGUCAUUCAUUUUGACAUCUUUUCUUCCUUCAUCUCAUGGUAGAUUCUAGAAAAUAAGUAUUAUCAUUUUCUACUUUGUAUUCCAUUUUGCUUGGUUUGAUCUUGACUUUUUUUUUUCUAUUCCCACUAGAAAUAAAGAUAAAUAGCAUGAAGAAGA